ACAGAGACUGCAAGCGUUAUUCGGAUUCACUGGGCGUAAAGGGUGCGCAGGUGGCCAAGUGUGUCAGGUGUGAAAUCCCGGGGCUUAACUCCGGAACUGCGCCUGAAACUGCUUGGCUAGAGCAUUGGAGAGGGAAGUGGAAUUCACGGUGUAGCAGUGAAAUGCGUAGAUAUCGUGAGGAACACCAGAGGCGAAGGCGACUUCCUGGACAAUUGCUGACACUCAGGCACGAAAGCGUGGGUAGCCAAAGGGA
rnacentral:rRNA from 1 species